rnacentral:rRNA from 1 species
ACACGGGGAGGAUUGACAGANUGAGAGCUCUUUCUUGAUUCUGUGGGUGGUGGUGCAUGGCCGUUCUUAGUUGGUGGGUUGCCUUGUCAGGUUGAUUCCGGUAACGAACGAGACCUCAGCCUGCUAAAUAGUCACGUCUGCCUCUCGCAGCCGGCCGACUUCUUAGAGGGACUAUUGUCGUUUAGGCAAUGGAAGUAUGAGGCAAUAACAGGUCUGCGAUGCCCUUAGAUGUUCUGGGCCGCACGCGCGCUACACUGAUGCGUUCAACGAGCCUAUCCUUGACCGAGAGGUCCGGGUAAUCUUCGAAACCGCAUCGUGAUGGGGAUAGAUUAUUGCAAUUAUUAGUCUUCAACGAGGAAUGCCUAGUAAGCGCGAGUCAUCAGCUCGCGUUGAUUACGUCCCUGCCCUUCGUACACACCGCCCGUCGCUCCUACCGAUUGAGCGUGCUGGUGAAGUGUUGGGAUCGGCCUCAGCUGGUGGCAACACCGGUUGUGGCUGAGAACAUCAUUGAACCCUCCCGCUUAGAGGAAGGAGAAGUCGUAACAAGGU